UACGUAGGGGGCGAGCGUUGUCCGGAUUUAUUGGGCGUAAAGAGCUCGUAGGCGGCUUGGCAAGUCGGGUGUGAAACCUCCAGGCUCAACCUGGAGGGGUCAUUCGAUACUGCCGUGACUAGAGGUAUGCAGGGGAGAACGGAAUUCCUGGUGUAGCGGUGAAAUGCGCAGAUAUCAGGAGGAACACCGGUGGCGAAGGCGGAUCUCUGGGCCGUAACUGACGCUGAGGAGCGAAAGCAUGGGGAGCGAACAGG
rnacentral:rRNA from 1 species